GACGAACGCUGGCGGCGUGCUUAACACAUGCAAGUCGAACGGAAAGGCCCUGCUUUUGUGGGGUGCUCGAGUGGCGAACGGGUGAGUAACACGUGAGUAACCUGCCCUUGACUUUGGGAUAACUUCAGGAAACUGGGGCUAAUACCGGAUAGGAGCUCCUGCUGCAUGGAGGGGGUUGGAAAGUUUCGGCGGUUGGGGAUGGACUCGCGGCUUAUCAGCUUGUUGGUGGGGUAGUGGCUUACCAAGGCUUUGACGGGUAGCCGGCCUGAGAGGGUGACCGGCCACAUUGGGACUGAGAUACGGCCCAGACUCCUACGGGAGGCAGCAGUGGGGAAUAUUGCACAAUGGGCCGAAGCCUGAUGCAGCAACGCCGCGUGCGGGAUGACGGCCUUCGGGUUGUAAACCGCUUUCGCCUGUGACGAAGCGUGAGUGACGGUAAUGGGUAAAGAAGCACCGGCUAACUACGUG
rnacentral:rRNA from 1 species